rnacentral:lncRNA from 1 species
AUGGGUAUCAUGAGGCUUCAUGCAUUGCUGCUGCUGCUGCAAUUGUUAUUGUCCCUCCAGAGAGUCAUAUCUCAGUUGCCUGGAUGGAUUGAACAAAUGGAAGGUAGUGGUGAGAGUGAAUGGAUUUCCCAGCCAGAUUUCAUAGAUGACACAUACUGGUCUGGGUCAGCGCCACUUUGUUUGGGAGGCUGUAAGGCACAACACCAGGAGCUGAGGAGAGAUCGCUGUGGGGACUCAAGCUGCUGCUGGUUCGGCUACAAGUCCCUGUGCCGUGUAAAUUGUGGGAGACCAGAUGUGGACUAUAACGGAGUAGUGUAUGGUAAUGACUGGUGGGUGGGCUCUGUGGUGAGGUACACCUGUCGCUCUGGCUUCAUGCUGGUGGGGAAUCCUACCAGAUAUUGCCAGCCUAAUGGCCUCUGGACCCCGAAACCAACCUGCCUCAGAAUGUGUCAGCGGGGACGCAUUGAAAUCAGUGAGAAGGAACUAAACGGGACCUGCAACUCUAGCUGCACAUUUAAAAGCUACUUCGGCCCACCCAAGCAAGGCUGCACUCGGAUAGACAACUGUAAGAAGAAGGAGACUGGCUGGAAGCGAUUCUUCGCACAGUGUGUCCCUUGCAUUUGUGAUUGUGCUUUAUCAUGCGCAUCUGCGGGCUAAAACAUGAAGACAACACUAUGUUGACCAUACACUGAGAGAUCAGAUGAUGAAGAAAUACACAGCUUGUUCACCCCAGAGCUACACUAUGGUUUUGCUUCUUCAUCCAACUCUCUGGACAAAUCAGAGCCCCAGAAUCUGGAUGUUCUAGGACAUUGAUCUAAUCUCUCUGGCUCAGUGAAAUAACCAUUUCUUCCUGAUUUCUAUACCUCUAAGUUUAGUCAGUCUGUGUGAUACACAUGGCAAAAGGGUCAGAAGAU